GAGAAAUGAGGAUAUUUGUUAUGUCUUACUGUUACAGUGAAGACAUCAGAUCCAACUCUGAUCUUGCUUUGUGC
rnacentral:snoRNA from 1 species